rnacentral:rRNA from 1 species
UACGUAGGGUCCGAGCGUUGUCCGGAGUUACUGGGCGUAAAGGGCGCGUAGGCGGUUCCAUGCGUCCCACGUGAAAGCCCCUGGCUCAACCAGGGAGGGUCGUGGGAAACGGGGGAACUGGAGGCAGAGAGAGGCUGGUGGAAUUCCCGGAGUAGUGGUGAAAUGCGUAGAUAUCGGGAGGAACACCGGUGGCGAAGGCGGCCAGCUGGCUCUGACCUGACGCUGAGGCGGCGAAGG